AUUGAACGCUGGCGGCAGGCCUAACACAUGCAAGUCGAGCGAGCGGCGGACGGGUGAGGAAUGUCUGGGAAACUGCCUGAUGGAGGGGGAUAACUACUGGAAACGGUAGCUAAUACCGCAUACCAUCAGAUGUGCCCAGAUGGGAUUAGCUGGUAGGUGGGGUAACGGCUCACCUAGGCGACGAUCCCUGUCUGGUCUAAGAGGAUGACCAGCCACACAGGAACUGAGACACGGUCCAGGGUCGUACGGGGGGGAGCAGUGGGGAAUAUUGCACAAUGGGGACAAGCCUGAUGCAGCCAUGCCGCGUGUGUGAAGAAGGCGUUCGGGUUGUAAACCUCUUUCGCUAUCGGACGGGUAGGUGGAGAAGAAGCACCGGCUAACUACGUGCCAGCAGCCGCGGUAAUUC
rnacentral:rRNA from 1 species